UAGCCUUUCGGUUAGGUUCCUUCAAAUCCUUAUGCAUCAAGGGAAAACUACUCCCCCCGGGGCUCAGUAGCACCCAUCCAAAAGGCAUUCUGAGCAGCCCACGUUGUUUGAAAUACUUUUACUGCCAUGAACUGAAACACAUCUUAGAAGAUUCCCCUUCAGAUGGACCUCAAUUCGGGACCUCUCAGUUUCUUUGAAGAUAUUCCUGCCUCUUGUUUUACGACGCACUCUGCUUGGAGAGGCCAAUUCCUUAGUCACUGCAAAGGCAGAACUGAGUUGUCCAAUAAUCACAACUGAGCAGUAUCAGCGACGACGGUUCACGCAUCGAGAGCCAAGGAAAACCACUCGAGAGCCUUUGCCUUCUUGGUCUGUUGACUAACGGUGUUGUUUCUGACACUGUGACCUCUUCAAGCAGCCGUUCUCCCUGAAAAGCCAAUAGUCUCAAACAGGCUUAUUUUCCCAGGACAUUUUCUUUGACUGCUACAGCCAAACCAGAUUUAAUUUACUCCCCACCGACAAACCGGCUCUCCUUGCUUGGAGAAUGAGUGAACCACCUAGAAACUCAUUUUCAUUGAAGCCUCAUUUUGCAGUUUUGGUCUUCGUUUAAAAAUAAAUCACAACGCUAUGUUGA